rfam:Pelodiscus sinensis unplaced genomic scaffold scaffold49, whole genome shotgun sequence.
CAAACGGCUCUUUUAAGAGCCACCUAUCCCUUUCAAGAAAGAGCUG